rnacentral:rRNA from 1 species
UGGGGAAUAUUGCACAAUGGGCGCAAGCCUGAUGCAGCCAUGCCGCGUGUAUGAAGAAGGCCUUCGGGUUGUAAAGUACUUUCAGCGGGGAGGAAGGGAUGGAGCUUAAUACGCUCUGUCAUUGACGUUACCCGCAGAAGAAGCACCGGCUAACUCCGUGCCAGCAGCCGCGGUAAUACGGAGGGUGCAAGCGUUAAUCGGAAUUACUGGGCGUAAAGCGCACGCAGGCGGUCUGUUAAGUCAGAUGUGAAAUCCCCGGGCUUAACCUGGGAACUGCAUUUGAAACUGGCAGGCUUGAGUCUCGUAGAGGGGGGUAGAAUUCCAGGUGUAGCGGUGAAAUGCGUAGAGAUCUGGAGGAAUACCGGUGGCGAAGGCGGCCCCCUGGACGAAGACUGACGCUCAGGUGCGAAAGCGUGGGGAGCAAACAGG